CCUACGGGCGGCUGCAGUGGGGAAUAUUGGACAAUGGGGGGAACCCUGAUCCAGCCAUGCCGCGUGUGUGAAGAAGGCCCUCGGGUUGUAAAGCACUUUCAGUGAGGAAGAACGCCUGGUGGUUAAUACCCAUCAGGAAAGACAUCACUCACAGAAGAAGCACCGGCUAACUCCGUGCCAGCAGCCGCGGUAAUACGGAGGGUGCGAGCGUUAAUCGGAAUUACUGGGCGUAAAGCGCGCGUAGGUGGCUUGAUAAGCCGGUUGUGAAAGCCCCGGACUCAACCUGGGAACGGCAUCCGGAACUGUCAAGCUAGAGUGCAGGAGAGGAAGGUAGAAUUCCCGGUGUAGCGGUGAAAUGCGUAGAGAUCGGGAGGAAUACCAGUGGCGAAGGCGGCCUUCUGGACUGACACUGACACUGAGGUGCGAAAGCGUGGGUAGCAAACAGGAUUAGAUACCCGAGUAGUC
rnacentral:rRNA from 1 species